rnacentral:rRNA from 1 species
AUUGAACGCUGGCGGAAUGCUUUACACAUGCAAGUCGAGCGGCAGCGCGGGGGCAACCCUGGCGGCGAGCGGCGAACGGGUGAGUAACAUAUCGGAACGUACCCAGUAAUGGGGGAUAACUACCCGAAAGGGUAGCUAAUACCGCAUACGCCCUGAGGGGGAAAGCGGGGGAUCGGAAACGACCUCGCGUUAUUGGAGCGGCCGAUAUCGGAUUAGCUAGUUGGGGGGGUAAAGGCCUACCAAGGCGACGAUCCGUAGCGGGUCUGAGAGGACGACCCGCCACACUGGAACUGAGACACGGUCCAGACUCCUACGGGAGGCAGCAGUGGGGAAUUUUGGACAAUGGGGGCAACCCUGAUCCAGCCAUUCCGCGUGAGUGAAGAAGGCCUUCGGGUUGUAAAGCUCUUUCAGCAGGAACGAAACGGUGGGCUCUAACAUAGCCUGCUAAUGACGGUACCUGAAGAAGAAGCACCGGCUAACUACGUGCCAGCCGCCGCAGUAA